UGAGGAAUAUUGGACAAUGGAGGAAACUCUGAUCCAGCCAUGCCGCGUGAGUGAAGAAGGCCUUCGGGUUGUAAAGCUCUUUCAAUAGUGAAGAUAAUGACGGUAGCUAUAGAAGAAGCCCCGGCUAAAUUCGUGCCAGCAGCCGCGGUAAUACGAAUGGGGCAAGCGUUGUUCGGAAUAACUGGGCUUAAAGCGUGCGCAGGCGGCCAAGCAAGUCAGGAGUGAAAUCCCCGGGCUCAACCCGGGAAUU
rnacentral:rRNA from 1 species